rnacentral:rRNA from 1 species
UUGACGGGGCCCGCACAAGCGGAGGAACAUGUGGUUUAAUUCGAUGAUACGCGAGGAACCUUACCUGGGCUUAAAUGUAGAGUGCUAUUUUUUAGAGAUAGAAAUUCCCUUCGGGGCUUUCUGCAAGGUGCUGCAUGGUUGUCGUCAGCUCGUGUCGUGAGAUGUUGGGUUAAGUCCUGCAACGAGCGCAACCCCUACGGUUAGUUGCUAACGGGUAAGGCCGAGCACUUUAGCCGAACUGCCGUUGACAAAACGGAGGAAGCGGGAUGACGUCAAAUCAUCAUGCCCUUUAUGUCCUGGGCUACACACGUGCUACAAUGGCCUGUACAAAGGGCAGCAAAGGGGCAACCCGGAGCAAAUCCCAAAAAACAGGUCUCAGUUCGGAUUGCAGGCUGCAACUCGCCUGCAUGAAGUCGGAAUCGCUAGUAAUCGCAGGUCAGCAUACUGCGGUGAAUACGUUCCCGGGCCUU